CGCACAAGCGGUGGAGCAUGUGGUUUAAUUCGACGCAACGCGCAGAACCUUACCAGCCCUUGACAUGUCCAGGACCGGCACCAGAGAUGGAGCCUUCUCUUCGGAGCCUGGAGCACAGGUGCUGCAUGGCUGUCGUCAGCUCGUGUCGUGAGAUGUUGGGUUAAGUCCCGCAACGAGCGCAACCCCCGUCUUUAGUUGCUACCAUUUAGUUGAGCACUCUAAAGAGACUGCCGGUGAUAAGCCGCGAGGAAGGUGGGGAUGACGUCAAGUCCUCAUGGCCCUUACGGGCUGGGCUACACACGUGCUACAAUGGCGGUGACAAUGGGAUGCUAAGGGGCGACCCCUCGCAAAUCUCAAAAAGCCGUCUCAGUUCGGAUUGGGCUCUGCAACUCGAGCCCAUGAAGUUGGAAUCGCUAGUAAUCGUGGAUCAACAUGCCACGGUGAAUACGUUCCCGGCCUUGUACACACCGCCCG
rnacentral:rRNA from 1 species